UCAAGAGGCCAAGGCUGACACCUUCAACUUUCCCGUCCCUUCAAGGAAUGUUGAUAAAGUAAUUAAACGAAAGAAGCAAAAGUUUUAUCUUUCAGUCUAAAGUCUGGCCUAAGGUCUGGAAAGUCAUUUCAAAAAUGCUUGCAGAAAAUGAGGAGCUCAGAAGUCGACUCUUGACUUGCAAACAGUUUAAUGGAGAAGGCAAUGAUAUGAGCCAAAUUUCACAGAAUGAGCCAUCAUCCCUGGACAGGGUAUGUAUGUAGACCAUUAGUUGCCAAGCAAGCUUAAACAAAAUAAUCACAUUCUAAAGACACACUGAUAUUGUUGUUUGGUGUUAUCAAUAAGCACUGGUUGUAUACUUCAGUAUUCCUGACAUUGGGCUCAAACGUUUUUCAAGAUUUCAGUCAUAUUUGGAAAGUAGAACAGCUCUGUCCUCGGCAGAAAGGGCUGUGGGAAUUGCCAAGGCUGGAAGGUGGAGUUUGCCUUUUUAUUGAGCCAAGUCCUUCUGUGAGGGUCUAAAGUAAAACCACAGGAAUCUGAAUAGAGUAUUUGU
rnacentral:lncRNA from 14 species